rnacentral:miRNA from 1 species
UAUCUUAUAAUACUGAUGUUGAC